rnacentral:rRNA from 1 species
UACAGAGGGUGCAAGCGUUAAUCGGAAUUACUGGGCGUAAAGCGUGCGUAGACGGUUAUGUAAGUCGGGUGUGAAAGCCCCGGGCUCAACCUGGGAAUGCCAUUCGAGACUGCAUAGCUAGGGUGCGGAAGAGGGAAGCGGAAUUUCCGGUGUAGCGGUGAAAUGCGUAGAUAUCGGAAGGAACACCAGUGGCGAAAGCGGCUUCCUGGUCCAGCACCGACGUCAGGCACGAAAGCGUGGGAGCAAACAGG